GUCUACGGCCAUGCUACCCUGAACAAGUCCGAUCCCGUCUGAUCUCGGAAGCUAAGCAGGGUCAGGCCUUGUUAGUACUUGGAUGGGAGACCACCUAGGAAGACCAGGUGCUGUAGGCG
rnacentral:rRNA from 1 species